CCUGUGCUCGCCACCAUCUAUCAGGGCCAGGGCAGGAAAAAUAGCCAUUGUUCAUCUCCUAAACACCUAGCUGAGCAUGGCGCGAGUGUGAGAGAUGUUGAUUAGCAUGAAUGCUGCCAGAGGUUAUGGAGCAGAUGAUGAACGAGGCAGUGGAACGAGACAAGAGGACUCGAGUGUGCUCUGUCAGGAGAAUACCUGAAUGAUUCUCUAGUAUUCGGGGCUCUGAGGAAGGGUUUUACUGUGCAGUGGCCACCAGCAGACGGUCAGUUGAUGUCAAUCAAGUGUAAGUGGUUUUGAUUGUGUGUUUGCUUGUUCUCAGGUACUCCAGUGUUUGGUCCGUGAUGCCGAUGCAUGUUGGUGGUGGUGGUACGGGGCAUGGGGGUAUGUUACGUGGGUAUGUUAACUCUCCUGUUAAUGAUAAACCUCCUAAUAAGAUAAACAUUUAUGAGACCCCGUAGGGAAAUUCAGGUAUAAUAGCAGCAAGGUAAUGGGGAUAAAAUAAAUAAAUACAAAUGAAAAUAAAUAAUAUAAGUACAAUGCAGCUGGCCCUAGAUAUUAGAUAAAAGUUAUUAUGUGGUGUAUUAAUAGAAGAGGCCUAUGGCCUAAUUCUCCCAGCAUGGCUUCUUCCUCCUUUUCAAACCCAGGUUUGUCACUAAACCACGUGUUUGGAAUACUUGCCAGAGCAGAAC
ensembl:lncRNA